rnacentral:rRNA from 1 species
UACGGAGGAUCCGAGCGUUAUCCGGAAUCAUUGGGUUUAAAGGGUCCGUAGGCGGGCCUGUAAGUCAGUGGUGAAAUCUUUCGGCUCAACCGGAAAAUUGCCAUUGAUACUGCAGGCCUUGAAUUAUUGGGAAGUAACUAGAAUAUGUAGUGUAGCGGUGAAAUGCUUAGAUAUUACAUGGAAUACCGAUUGACGAAGGCAGGUUACUAUCAAUAUAUUGACGCUGAUGGACGAAAGCGUGGGGAGCGAACAGG